UACGGAGGGUGCAAGCGUUAUCCGGAUUUACUGGGUUUAAAGGGUGCGUAGGUGGGUCUGUAAGUCAGUGGUGAAAUCUCCGAGCUUAACUCGGAAACUGCCAUUGAUACUAUAGGUCUUGAAUCAUCUGGAGGUGAGCGGAAUAUGUCAUGUAGCGGUGAAAUGCUUAGAUAUGACAUAGAACACCAAUUGCGAAGGCAGCUCACUACGGAUGUAUUGACACUGAGGCGCGAAAGCGUGGGGAGCGAACAGG
rnacentral:rRNA from 1 species